AUUUGGCAGAUGAAAAUAAUGAAUCUCUUUUUCUCUUAUUCGUAUAAUUAUGGAAUUGUUUUCGCAAGUUUUCGAAGCUAUUACGAUAGUUUUCGAAAGAAUAGUUGAUAAAUCAUUAAUAAAAGUUCAUUGGUGUAUAGUUGGCAGAUCUUAGUUCAAAGAAUCGUUUUUUUUUUUUAAACGAUCAGAAAUCAUUUGGGUAUACAGAACUCGAAAAGUAGUUCGGCGACAAGGGUUCUCAUGUGUAUACAUAGAUACUCCCAUCUGAGACUUGUUUUCGUAAUGAAAUGUCAUGUUGACGUGUGAGGUUAUGAUCCCCAGUGUGCUGUUGUUUGCGGUGUGUAAAUAAUACAUGAAAAUGAAGAAUGUGCAUUAACAUUGGACAGCAAUCAAAUUGAAUCUUGUGAUUACUGGACGAGCAGCAACGGCAAUCGGCAAUGAAUUCGUUCGAGAGAUUAAAACUGUUGUACAUCUUCAAUGUACAUUCCCAAUCUGCCUAUACAAAUAAUGGCAGUCACAGACAUCGGAGGCGCCAACGCAUUUUUCAGCAGUAAACUCAGUCAUUUGUUCAUUACCGAAGGAAACACCACUGUUGAUAGAUUUCAGCUGCAUUUUACACUUACUUUUUCGAAGUGGUACGGGAAAAGAAAACCAUAAAUUGAACAAGCUUUCAACAUGGAAGAGCCUGGUAAUUUGAACAAUAGUAACAAAGAUACAUUGGAGUAUUCGGCACACCAUCCGACUGAAAGCCUCUUCCAAAACCAGAUUUAUACAUACAAUCUUGGAUCGUUUAGAAGAUGCAGACAUAGACGAGGGUGGUAAAGUUAGCUGGGAGGAAAUAGUUCAAGAUACUUAUGGUUCAGAUGCAGAGGAUCUUGCUGCGGAGGACAGACUCAUCGCUGAUGACAAAGCUACAUUCAAUCUGGCCAAUCUUAACAACGAUGGACUUUUGAACAAAGAAGAGUUCAAAGCUUACACACAUCUCGAAGAGACUCAGAGAAUGUAUAUUCUUCUGUUGCAAUAAGGUCUUGAAGAAAAAGACGGACAAGGGCGGAAGCAUAAGCUUCCAGGAGUUUUUAGACAAUAGAGCUAAAAAUGAGGAUAAAGAAUAGCUUAUUGUUGAAAAAGACAAAUUCGAUUAUGAGCAUGAGGAAAAUCAGGAUGGCAAGCUCGACUCCUCGGAAGUACUGAUUUGGCUCCUGCCCAGUAACGAGUAAGUCUGAUUCAUCUCUAAGUCAGAUUUUUCUUAAUUACUUAAUACAAAGAUACAAAAUUGUCAAAUUUUUUAUAACUACGAGAAAAAUGUUCAGUUUAUAUUCGCAUCAGUCUGAAAGCACGUUUAAUAUCAUAGUAAAUUUUCUCCAGCUUAACGCGGGAUGGAUGAAGCCUGGGAGGAAGAGUAUGCGAUGGUCAUAAUCUACAAACAUGUCAAUUAAUCGGUUAAUUAAUAUAAUCUAAUUGUUAAUCUUAUGUUGAAUUUAUUCAUUUUAGCAUAUCUUUUAGUAAAUGGUUCGAACAGUGGUUACGUUUGCAAUUUGAUUCGACCAGCGGCUGAGUACUGUAUUAAAUCAUGCGUUUCUUCUGCUCUAUAAGCAGGGCUUGGUUCUACACCGGAGAAUCUUCCAGGCAGAGUCAGAUCUCUCACAACUGCGCAUUUAUUGCACAUAACAAAGUACACGACGUUUAUAAAAAAAAGUUAACGGCACAAGCACAACAUUUAUGCAGUUGACGUGUUCGAAUUCGUAAGCCCCCGCUUGCUAGUCAAAAUUCUGGGAGAGUUUUGUGAAUCACCAUGACAAAUGAGCCGAGAUUGUGACAAGUGAAUUCACAAUGGAACCAAAAAUUGACUGCGGCAUCACAGGACAAAUAAAUGAUGUUCAACUGAUGAACAAUGAGAUGUCUUCAGCUGUUAAAUUAAUGAAAUUAUGCAGAAAUGAACAUUCGUUUUAAUUUAAUUAAUAAAUGCAUUGUAUGAUUUAUAA
rnacentral:lncRNA from 1 species